rnacentral:rRNA from 1 species
AUUGAACGCUGGCGGCAGGCCUAACACAUGCAAGUCGAGCGAGCGGCGGACGGGUGAGUAAUGUCUGGGAAACUGCCUGAUGGAGGGGGAUAACUACUGGAAACGGUAGCUAAUACCGCAUACCAUCAGAUUUGCCCAGCUGGGAUUAGCUAGUAGGUGGGGUAACGGCUCACCUAGGCGACGAUCCCUAGCUGGUCUGAGAGGAUGACCAGCAACACGGGAACGGAGACACGGUCCAGACUCCUACGGGAGGCAGCAGUGGGGAAUAUUGCACAAUGGGCGCAAGCCUGAUGCAGCCAGGCCGCGUGUGUGAAGAAGGCCUUCGGGUUGUAAAGCACGUUCAGCGGGGAGGCGUUACCCGCAGAAGAAGCACCGGCUAACUCCGUGCCAGCCGCCGCGGUAAUAC